rnacentral:rRNA from 1 species
GACGAACGCUGGCGGCGUGCCUAAUACAUGCAAGUCGAGCGCAGGAAGCUGACGGAACUCUUCGGAGAGAAGGCAGUGGAAUGAGCGGCGGACGGGUGAGUAACACGUAAGGAACCUGCCUCAAGGAUUGGGAUAACUCCGAGAAAUCGGAGCUAAUACCGGAUAGUUCAACGGACCGCAUGGUCCGCUGAUGAAAGGCGCUUCGGCGUCACCUUGUGAUGGCCUUGCGGUGCAUUAGCUAGUUGGUGGGGUAACGGCUCACCAAGGCGACGAUGCAUAGCCGACCUGAGAGGGUGAUCGGCCACACUGGGACUGAGACACGGCCCAGACUCCUACGGGAGGCAGCAGUAGGGAAUCUUCCACAAUGGACGAAAGUCUGAUGGAGCAACGCCGCGUGAGUGAUGAAGGUUUUCGGAUCGUAAAACUCUGUUGUAAGGGAAGAACACGUACGAGAGGGAAUGCUCGUACCUUGACGGUACCUUACGAGAAAGCCACGGCUAACUACGUGCCAGCCGCCGCCGUAA